AAAAAAACCAUUUUUUCCCCUUUUCUUUUUUUUCUCUCUUUCUCUCGGCUCUCUCCCUCCGAAACUCUCCCUCCACUUCUCUCCUCGAUUUCAUCUACUUAGAGCGUGAUUCCGAACAAAGCCCAAGAAUUAAAGUCGUUAUAUGAAGCAUGGGCUUUCCGAAUAUCCAAGAAAAAUCACGAUCGGACCACGUGGGAGCUCGGUUGACUUAGUCAAAGGUUCGGGUUUUGCUCAAAACCCAUGAGGUACGAUUCAAGGAAGUUGACAUGGAGUACAUGUUGUGCAUUUGUGACCAAACCUUUAAAAAGGUAUUCAAGAAGGAUUUCAUAGCACAAGAUCUGAAAGAGCAUUUUUUUUUUUGGAAAGAUAGUAUUUGUAAACUGUAAUAUUAUUUUCUUCGGACAUUGGUAUUUCCAUAACUUGGGGCCUCGAGCCAGGGAUGUACUCAUUGAAUUUUAUUGAGAACAGUGAACAGAAAGGUCUUUUGGGGUAUUAUUUGUAUUACAGUGAGGGCUUUAUUUAUUAAAAAUGUUUAUUAUUUAUGUCAAAAA